rnacentral:lncRNA from 1 species
AAAAAAAAAGAAAACACAGUAAGGAAGAAAAACUCUCCCGUCGUCCUCAACCAAACUCGCCCUCACUCGCUACGACUCUCCUUCCUCAUUGCUCUCUCAAAAUCUCAAAAUUUCUCUCUCUCUCUCUUAAACGCUAUCCCUCAACCUUUACUCUCAAAGUCUCUCAAACGCAACCAAACCUCUCUCUCUCAAAAUCGCACAAUCGCAUCUCAACAAAGUCUCAACAAAUACAUGAGAAUGAUAAAAGGAAAAAAGGAAAGGAAAUCUCACAGAGUGUCACGGCGGUGGUGAAAGGCGUGAAGAAGCUGGCCUACCAAUCCAGGUAAUCGGUUUUGAGGUUUUAGGGUUUUUGUCUGGGAUUUUUCCGCCUCCAGGUCUUUCUGUGAACAGUGGCCGCCUCCAACCUUUAGAAAUUAGGGUUUUUUUCUCUGCCCUCUCAUGAACAGUGGCCUCCUAUUAUAUAUCUCUCAUCUCCUCUGCUCUCUGCUCUGUUCCCUGCUGUGUUGCUGAGCUUCCUCAGAGUAGUGGGAAGUGUCUGUACGGAGGGUGCUUGGAGGUUUUGUCUUUACUCAAGCUAGUGGUCCCUCUUCUCAAUUCUCUUUAUUUUGAAAACUCUACUGUUGGUAAGAAAAACUUUCACCACUGUAACUUACUUAGCUGAAAAGUUUGUUGUAGAAUUAACUGAUUUUUGGUAUUUGUGUUGUGGUGGCUUCGACGUGGAUCGUAUUAAUCUCAUCUGCUGGUGAUACUUGCAGGACAUACAUCACGCCGGGUUGAAUUUCAGCUGAGGUUUGCAAGCGACAUGAUUUGUUCGUGGAUUAAGUUGGUGUCGGCGUGAUGUCGCAUAACUAUUUUGACACGGUUCUGGUGGGUUAUCGCAGGAUCAUGGACCCUAAGCUGGAGCAAACUAAUUUGGACGGUAAUUCAAAGAUUACAUCAUUUGGAAUGGAAUGAUUAGAGAUGUCCGAAGCAGAGAGUGGG